AUUCUAGUUUGGCAUUGUAAAGAGUCAUGAGAGGUGUAGCAUAGGUGGGAGACCUCGGUCGACAAUGAAAUAUCACCACUUUCAUCAAUUCUUUACUUAUUCAGUGAGGAGAGAAUUGAGCUCUUUUUUUCCGGCUCUUUUUUUUUGUUUUAAGCAAGCCACCCGGUAGUCGAUUAAUUGUACGAAUGGUCUGGCAAAAU
rnacentral:ncRNA from 1 species